GACGAACGCUGGCGGCGUGCUUAACACAUGCGAGUCGAACGGAAAGGCCCUGCUUUUGUGGGGUGCUCGAGUGGCGAACGGGUGAGUAACACGUGAGUAACCUGCCCUUGACUUUGGGAUAACUUCAGGAAACUGGGGCUAAUACCGGAUAGGAGCUCCUGCUGCAUGGUGGGGGUUGGAAAGUUUCGGCGGUUGGGGAUGGACUCGCGGCUUAUCAGCUUGUUGGUGGGGUAGUGGCUUACCAAGGCUUUGACGGGUAGCCGGCCUGGGAGGGUGACCGGCCACAUUGGGACUGAGGUACGGACCAGACUCCUACGGGAGGCAGCAGUGGGGAAUAUUGCACAAUGGGCGGAAGCCUGAUGCAGCAACGCCGCGUGCGGGAUGACGGCCUUCGGGUUGUAAACCGCUUUCGCCUGUGACGAAGCGUGAGUGACGGUAAUGGGUAAAGAAGCACCGGCUAACUACGUG
rnacentral:rRNA from 1 species